GGUAGUGCAGGGUAGAGUACCGGGUGGUGCAGGGUAGAGUACCGGGUGGUACAGGGUAGAGUACCGGGUGGUGCAGGGUAGAGUACCGUGGUGGUGCAGGGUAGUGUACCGGGUGGUGCAGGGCAGAGUACCGGGUGGUGCAGGGUAGAGUACCUGGUGGUAGCAGGGUAGUGUACCGGGUGGUGCAGGGUAGUGUACCGGGUGGGAGCAGGGUAGUGUACCGGGUGGUGCAGGGUAGUGUUACCGGGUGGUGCAGGGUAGUGUACCGGGUGGGAGCAGGGUAGAGUACCGGGUGGUGUAGGGUAGUGUACCGGGUGGUGUAGGGUAGUGUUCCCGGUGGUGCAGGGUAGUGUUCCCGGGUGGGAGCAGGGUAGAGUACCGGGUGGUGCAGGGUAGUGUACCGGGUGGUAGCAGGGUAGUGUACCGGUGGUAGCAGGGUAGUGUACCGGGUGGUAGCAGGGUAGAGUACCGGGUGGUGCAGCCUAGAGUACCGGGUCGGAGCCGGCUGUUAACAGUGACUAAAGAUCAGCGUUGGGUACUGGACAGCGGCUGGCUAGUGGUGACUAUUUAACAGUCUGAUGGAGUGUGUGUGUGUGUGUGUGUGUGUGUGUGACAGAGUAACAAAUCAUGAAUGAUAAAAGUAUGAUAUUUGUUCAAAGUUUAUAUUUUCACGUUGAAGGAGUCAAUUUUCAAAGACGGUUCCAAAAAAUGUUUUAAAAAUCUAUGUUUAUGUCGGGAUCAGAUGACAAGCUGCUGGUCUGUCCAGGGGGAGUGUCCGGUUCACUGGAGUCAGGGGGCGUGUCCGGCUGGAGCCAGGGGGCGUGUCCGGCUGGAGCCAGGGGGCGUGUCUGGACGGAGCCGGGGGGCGUGUCCGGCUGGAGCCAGGGGGCGUGUCCUGCUGGAGCCAGGGGUGUGUCCGGCUGGAGCCAGGGGUGGAGUAACAUCUCGUCCAGAGUGGGCCGUCCUCGGGGUCGCUUCGCCAGACACCUCCUCAACAGAUCCACACAGU
ensembl:lncRNA